rnacentral:rRNA from 1 species
AGUGAACGCUGGCGGCAGGCCUAAUACAUGCAAGUCGAACGGCAGCACAGCAGAGCUUGCUCUGUGGGUGGCGAGUGGCGGACGGGUGAGGAAUACGUGGGAAUCUGCCCAGUCGUGGGGAUAACGUAGGGAAACUUACGCUAAUACCGCAUGCGCCCUUCGGGGGAAAGCCGGGGACCUUCGGGCCUGGCGCGAUUGGAUGAGCCCACGUCGGAUUAGCUAGUUGGCGGGGUAAAGGCCCACCAAGGCGACGAUCCGUAGCUGGUCUGAGAGGAUGAUCAGCCACACUGGAACUGAGACACGGUCCAGACUCCUACGGGAGGCAGCAGUAGGGAAUAUUGGACAAUGGGCGCAAGCCUGAUCCAGCCAUGCCGCGUGAGUGAAGAAGGCCCUCGGGUUGUAAAGCUCUUUUGUCCGGAAAGAAAGCGCCGGGUUAAUACCCUGGUGUCCUGACGGUACCGGAAGAUAAGCACCGGCUAACUUCGUGCCAGCAGCCGCGGUAAU